UUACAAUAAAACAUCUCUAGCUGUCUUCAUUCUUCUGACAAGAGUAUCUAGGUUACAAUAAAACAUCUCUAGCUGUCUUCAUUCUUCUGACAAGAGUAUCUAGGUUACAAUAAAACAUCUCUAGCUGUCUUCAUUCUUCUGACAAGAGUAUCUAGGUUACAAUAAAACAUCUCUAGCUGUCUUCAUUCUUCUGACAAGAGUAUCUAGGUUACAAUAAAACAUCUCUAGCUGUCUUCAUUCUUCUGACAAGAGUAUCUAGGUUACAAUAAAACAUCUCUAGCUGUCUUCAUUCUUCUGACAAGAGUAUCUAGGUUACAAUAAAACAUCUCUAGCUGUCUUCAUUCUUCUGACAAGAGUAUCUAGGUUACAAUAAAACAUCUCUAGCUGUCUUCAUU